GCCGGGCGCGGUGGCCCGUGCCUGUAUUGCCAGCUACUUGGGAGGCUGAGGUGUGAGGAUCGCGUGAGCCCGAGUUCUGGGCUGUAGUGCGCUAUGCCGAUCGGAUGUCCGCACUAAGUUCGGCAUCAAUAUGGUGACCUCCCGGGAACGGGGGACCACCAGGUUGCCUAAGGAGGAGUGAACCGGCCCAGGUCGGAAACAGAGCUGGUCAAAACAAAAACUCCCGUGCUGAUCAGUAGUGGGAUUGUGCCUGUGAAUAGUCACUGCACUCCAGCCUGAGCAACAUAGCGAGACUCCGUCUCU
rnacentral:SRP_RNA from 1 species